rnacentral:rRNA from 2 species
ACAGGUGGUGCAUGGUUGUCGUCAGCUCGUGUCGUGAGAUGUUGGGUUAAGUCCCGCAACGAGCGCAACCCUUGUCUUUAGUUGCCAUCAUUAAGUUGGGCACUCUAAAGAGACUGCCGAUGACAAAUCGGAGGAAGGUGAGGAUGACGUCAAAUCAUCAUGCCCUUUAUGUCCUGGGCUACACACGUGCUACAAUGGUCGGUACAACGAGAAGCAAGUCAGCGAUGGCAAGCAAAUCUCUAAAAGCCGAUCCCAGUUCGGAUUGCAGGCUGCAACUCGCCUGCAUGAAGUCGGAGUUGCUAGUAAUCGCGGAUCAGAAUGCCGCGGUGAAUGCGUUCCCGGGUCUU